CCUACGGGAGGCAGCAGUGAGGAAUCUUGCGCAAUGGGCGCAAGCCUGACCCAGCAACGCCGCGUGAAGGAAGAAGGCUUUCGGGUUGUAAACUUCUUUUAUCAGGGACGAAGCAAGUGACGGUAACUGAUGCAUAAGCCACGGCUAACUACGUGCCAGCCGCCGCGGUAAUACGUAGGUGGCAAGCGUUAUCCGGAUUUACUGGGUGUAAAGGGCGUGUAGGCGGGAGGUCAAGCCAGAUGUGAAAACUAUGGGCUCAACCCAUAGCCUGCAUUUGAAACUGUACUUCUUGAGUGCUGAAGAGGCAAUCGGAAUUCCGUGUGUAGCGGUGAAAUGCGUAGAUAUACGGAGGAACACCAGUGGCGAAGGCGAAUUUCUGGUCAGUAACUGACGCUGAGGCGCGAAAGCGUGGGGAGCAAACAGGAUUAGAUACCCGAGUAGUC
rnacentral:rRNA from 1 species